GUAGGGAAUAUUGGGCAAUGGGUGCAAGCCUGACCCAGCCAUCCCGCGUGCCGGAUGAAGGCCCUCUGGGUCGUAAACGGCUUUUGACGGUGAAGAACCGACAGGAUGCGUCCUGUUUUGACGGUAGCCGUUGAAUAAGCACCGGCUAACUCCGUGCCAGCAGCCGCGGUAAUACGGAGGGUGCGAGCGUUGUCCGGAUUUAUUGGGUUUAAAGGGUGCGUAGGCUGGAAGGUCAGUCAGCGGUGAAAAGCUAUCGCUUAACGAUAGUCUUGCCGCAGAUACUUCCUUUCUUGGAUGAGGAGGAGGCCACUGGAACGGAUGGUGUAGCGGUGAAAUGCAUAGAUAUCAUCCAGAACACCGAUUGCGAAGGCAGGUGGCUGUACCUUAAUCGACGCUGAUGCACGAAAGCAUGGGGAGCAAACAGGAUUAGAUACCCGGGUAGUCC
rnacentral:rRNA from 1 species